rnacentral:rRNA from 1 species
CAAUAAGCGGAGGAAAAGAAACCAACAGGGAUUGCCCUAGUAACGGCGAGUGAAGCGGCAACAGCUCAAAUUUGAAAUCUGGCCUCCUUUGGGGGUCCGAGUUGUAAUUUGCAGAGGGUGCUUUGGCGUCGGCAGCGGUCUAAGUUCCUUGGAACAGGACAUCACAGAGGGUGAGAAUCCCGUACGUGGUCGCCUGCCUUCGCCGUGUAAAGCCCCUUCGACGAGUCGAGUUGUUUGGGAAUGCAGCUCUAAAUGGGAGGUAAAUUUCUUCUAAAGCUAAAUACCGGCCAGAGACCGAUAGCGCACAAGUAGAGUGAUCGAAAGAUGAAAAGCACUUUGGAAAGAGAGUCAAACAGCACGUGAAAUUGUUGAAAGGGAAGCGCUUGCAGCCAGACUUGCUCGUAGUUGCUCACCUGGGUCCGCCCGGGGCACUCUUCUGCGAGCAGGCCAGCAUCAGUUUGGGCGACCGGAUAAAGGCCUCUGUCAUGUAUCUUCCUUCGGGAUGACCUUAUAGGGGAGGCGUAAUGCGGCCAGCCCGGACUGAGGUCCGCGCUUCUGCUAGGAUGCUGGCGUAAUGGCUGUAAGCGGCCCGUCUUGAAACACGGACCAAGGAGUCUAACAUCUAUGCGAGUGUUUGGGUGUCAAGCCCGGGCGCGUAAUGAAAGUGAACGGAGGUGGGAACCCUCUCCGGGGGGUGCACCAUCGACCGAUCCUGAUGUCUUCGGAUGGAUUUGAGUAAGAGCAUAGCUGUUGGGACCCGAAAGAUGGUGAACUAUGCUUGAAUAGGGUGAAGCCAGAGGAAACUCUGGUGGAGGCUCGCAGCGGUUCUGACGUGCAAAUCGAUCGUCAAAUUUGGGCAUAGGGGCGAAAGACUAAUCGAACUAUCUAGUAGCUGGUUCCUGCC